rnacentral:rRNA from 1 species
CCUACGGGUGGCUGCAGUGGGGAAUAUUGGACAAUGGGGGCAACCCUGAUCCAGCCAUGCCGCGUGUGUGAAGAAGGCCCUCGGGUUGUAAAGCACUUUCAGUGAGGAAGAACGCCUGGUGGUUAAUACCCAUCAGGAAAGACAUCACUCACAGAAGAAGCACCGGCUAACUCCGUGCCAGCAGCCGCGGUAAUACGGAGGGUGCGAGCGUUAAUCGGAAUUACUGGGCGUAAAGCGCGCGUAGGUGGCUUGAUAAGCCGGUUGUGAAAGCCCCUGGCUCAACCUGGGAACGGCAUCCGGAACUGUCAAGCUAGAGUGCAGGAGAGGAAGGUAGAAUUCCCGGUGUAGCGGUGAAAUGCGUAGAGAUCGGGAGGAAUACCAGUGGCGAAGGCGGCCUUCUGGACUGACACUGACACUGAGGUGCGAAAGCGUGGGUAGCAAACAGGAUUAGAUACCCCAGUAGUC